UCGUCUUACAAAUGAACAGCGCUUUCCAAUAUUGAAUUUUAUUAUCAAAAAGCAUGGUCUGUUAAGAAAUUUAUGGACGAAGCUCAUUUUUGGCUCAUGGGUGGAUCAGUUCCCUUGCAAAUGACUAUACCACUGUUCAAUUCAAUUGCUAAAGAAUAGUUUUUUAAAUGCCUUAAAACAAAUUGCUUUGGCAGAUAACAUUUUGAUUACAUAUCUUAACUCUUGGAGUGGAAAAAAGUAUAUCAAGUUUCUUAAGUUGCACAAUAAAAUAAACAGCGUUAUCUGUUAAGGAAAGGAUUUGAUCGAAGUCGUAAACCUGAGAACUGCCAUAGUUUGUCCAGUACAAUGAUAAAGAUAUCACAAUAGCAAAGGGAUAAAACUUAUAAGCAUUGUAAAGGAAAUCUUUAUAUUGGAGUGUGCUGCUGGCUUCCAAAAUUGAUUAGUGGUAUUAACAAAUACUGCCUGUUGAUGUCAAAUUGAAUUUUUCUGCUUUUGAAGAGCACUGAUUUCAAUUUCACUUUUCCUAUAUUGAAAUUUAACUCACCUGCAGAUUUAGCAUUAAGUAUAGUAGAAGACAAAUGGAAUAAAAUGCCAGCUAUAAAUAUACAAUAUAUCCGAAAACCCC